rnacentral:rRNA from 1 species
UACGUAGGGUGCGAGCGUUGUCCGGAAUUAUUGGGCGUAAAGAGCUCGUAGGCGGUCUGUCGCGUCGAAUGUGAAAACCCGGGGCUCAACUCCGGGCUUGCAUUCGAUACGGGCAGGCUAGAGUUCGGUAGGGGAGUCUGGAAUUCCUGGUGUAGCGGUGAAAUGCGCAGAUAUCAGGAGGAACACCGGUGGCGAAGGCGGGACUCUGGGCCGAUACUGACACUGAGGUACGAAAGCGUGGGUAGCGAACAGG